rnacentral:rRNA from 1 species
GACGGACGCUGGCGGCGUGCUUAACACAUGCAAGUCGAACGGAAAGGCCCCAGCUUGCUGGGGUACUCGAGUGGCGAACGGGUGAGUAACACGUGGGUGAUCUGCCCUGCACUCUGGGAUAAGCCUGGGAAACUGGGUCUAAUACCGGAUAGGACCGUGCUUUAGUGUGUGCGGUGGAAAGUUUUUCGGUGCAGGAUGAGCCCGCGGCCUAUCAGCUUGUUGGUGGGGUAAUGGCCUACCAAGGCGGCGACGGGUAGCCGGCCUGAGAGGGUGUACGGCCACAUUGGGACUGAGACACGGCCCAGACUCCUACGGGAGGCAGCAGUGGGGAAUAUUGCACAAUGGGCGCAAGCCUGAUGCAGCGACGCCGCGUGGGGGAUGACGGCCUUCGGGUUGUAAACCCCUUUCGGCAGGGACGAAGCUUUCGUGACGGUACCUGCAUAAGAAGCACCGGCUAACUACGUG